UACGUAGGGUGCAGGCGUUAAUCGGAAUUACUGGGCGUAAAGCGUGCGCAGGCGGUCUCUUAAGACAGCUGUGAAAUCCCCGGGCCCAACCUGGGCACUGCAGUUGGAACUGGCAAGCUAGAGUAGGGUAGAGGGGUGUGGAAUUCCAGGUGUAGCGGUGAAAUGCGUAGAUAUCUGGAGGAACAUCAGUGGCGAAGGCGACACCCUGGACUCAUACUGACACUGAGGUGCGAAAGCGUGGGGAGCAAACAGG
rnacentral:rRNA from 1 species